rnacentral:sRNA from 1 species
CAGACCCUUUGAUUAUAUACAGCAUCUGUUCCCAGCGAGCUCUUCUCGCAAGUCUCAUACAUUAUAACUUCCUAACUAUUCUGCAUUUUUGUUCCCGUGUUUUGUUUUCCAUUCAUCACAUAAAAUUAGUGUGCCAACCUAACUUUUCUCCCCUAGUUAACCUCGCACCAACUCAAUAGUCUUUUAUACCGUCAAAAUGGUGGGACUUUCACAAGAAGAUUGCAACAUUAUCAAGAAUCAUCCUCUAACCAACUUAGUUGAUCAUUUAUGAGGCGCACUUCAGAAAGCUGAAAGAAUAUAUGAGAGGAAGUAGUCAUGUGAUCUAUACUUCAUCUCAGGCUCCAUUUCUACACUUCUUUGAUUCUUAUUCAAUAAGCCCCAGGCCGUGUUGCAGGUUUAUAACAAGAUUGACACGCAGAUUGACACACAGAUUACAUAUUAAAAAGAGUGGCAGAUUCCACAUUGAAUGACAGUGGAGACAAGGAAUAAUCAAGAGCUAAAUAUUCAGUAUAAAAUACAGUGUGAAUUUCCACCAAGAUUUGUGGCGCUCUCUAGUUGUCUUUUUGCCGGCGCAAUUCUUUUGAUAGCGCCCUCCGUACGUCAAUGGGAGCUGAGACGAAAUGAUUCCACCUCACCUGCAUAAUUUCGAUUGCAAAGAUAGAGAGUCUUAACUAACGUAACUCACCAUUGCUUUGCCGUGGCAUUUCAGCGUCUUUUACGCUCUUUUGAACCUCGGUCGACUUGCAGACCAUCUGUCGUCCGAUAGCAUUUGUAUGUACUGUAUCUGAAAUCAGGGGGU